GACAGAGGUGCCGAGCGUUAGGCGGAAUCACUUGGCUUAAAGCGUGUGUAGGCGGAUCGUUAAGUACCUUGUGAAAUCCCACGGCUCAACCGUGGAACGGCUGGGUAUACUGGCGGUCUUGGGCCAUUCAGGGGCGACUGGAACAAGCGGUGGAGCGGUGAAAUGCGUAGAUAUCGCUUGGAACGCCGAAGGUGAAAACAGGUCGCUGGGGAUGUGCCGACGCUGAGACACGAAAGCCAGGGGAGCAAACGGG
rnacentral:rRNA from 1 species